rnacentral:rRNA from 1 species
UACGUAGGGGGCUAGCGUUGUCCGGAAUCAUUGGGCGUAAAGCGCGUGUAGGCGGCCCGGUAAGUCCGCUGUGAAAGUCGGGGGCUCAACCCUCGAAAGCCGGUGGAUACUGUCGGGCUAGAGUACGGAAGAGGCGAGUGGAAUUCCUGGUGUAGCGGUGAAAUGCGCAGAUAUCAGGAGGAACACCCAUUGCGAAGGCAGCUCGCUGGGACGUUACUGACGCUGAGACGCGAAAGCGUGGGGAGCGAACAGG